GUCAGAUAAAUGGUCGCGCCUGAUUUAUGCAGGUGAGGAAAGUCCGGGCUUCACAGGGCAGGAUGCCGGAUAACGUCCGGUGGAGGUGACUCCAAGGAAAGUGCAACAGAAAUAAACCGCCAUAUCACGUGGUAAGGAUGGAAAGGCGAGGUAAGAGCUCACCGCCUGGCUGGUAACAGACAGGGCACAUGUAAACCCCAUUCGAAGCAAGACCAAGACGAAGACGCAAAGGCUUGCCCGGUCAGUCUUCAGGUAGGUCGCUUGAGCUUGCUGGCGACAGUAAGUCGAGAUAGAUGAUCAUUCAAGACAUAACCCGGCUUAUCGUCUGGCUCG
rnacentral:RNase_P_RNA from 1 species